AUUGAACGCUGGCGGCAUGCCUUACACAUGCAAGUCGAACGGUAACAGGCCGCAAGGUGCUGACGAGUGGCGAACGGGUGAGUAAUGUAUCGGAACGUGCCCAGUCGUGGGGAUAACUGCUCGAAAGAGCAGCUAAUACCGCAUACGACCUGAGGGUGAAAGCGGGGGACCGUAAGGCCUCGCGCGAUUGGAGCGGCCGAUAUCAGAUUAGGUAGUUGGUGAGGUAAAGGCUCACCAAGCCGACGAUCUGUAGCUGGUCUGAGAGGACGACCAGCCACACUGGGACUGAGACACGGCCCAGACUCCUACGGGAGGCAGCAGUGGGGAAUUUUGGACAAUGGACGCAAGUCUGAUCCAGCCAUGCCGCGUGCGGGAACAAGGCCUUCGGUUGUAAACCGCUUUGUCAGGGAAGAAAGGUUCCUUCUAAUAAGGGACUCGAUGACGGUACCUGAAGAAUAAGCACCGGGCUAACUACGUGCCAGCAGCA
rnacentral:rRNA from 1 species